AUGCAGCAGUUUGUGCAGCAGGGCACAAAGAAGGAAGAGCGCCUUCGUCAAAUUCAGAUCACUGUAACAGUCCUGGACUACCCCUGCCAGGGUGGAGGCUUUGGCCCCGGCCUAGCUUUGGGUGGCAGAUGCAGCCCUCCAAGGCCCCGGCUGCAGGAGCGCCGGGGGCCUCUCCCCGCAGGAGGUGCGCUGUCGAGUGGAGGAUUUAUGGAAGUGAGCGGGCUGUGCAGCAUCAGAGAAGAUAAAAGGGAGACAGACAGGGUCUUCUCUGAGACAGAACAGUUUGAAGAGCCUCAGACUCCGACUGCAAGAGAGGAGGUGGCAGUGUCCAGCCCCACUGUUAAGGGAAGCACUUAAGGUUCUUGGUAAAAGAAUGAAAAAUGAAACGACAGAAGAAUACCACAUUAAAAAGACCCAAGGAAAUGACCUUAGGAAGAGGGACCCUCCCUUUAACUGGUGUAAAGCAUCACAUCUCCUCUCAAGCCAACAGAGCUAAGUGAAUCCACAGCGGCUGAAGAACUCAACCAGAAGUUUUGGUUGAAACACACUGAGGUAAAAAUCGAUGCAUCACCUACUAUUACGUAGGGUACAUCACGUAAAAUAGCAGUUUGACAAUAUUGUUGAAUGGGAUUUACGAGCUCAUGAAAACGUCAUUUAAAAGUGGUGCACAAGUUCUUAGUCAUUUAAAUAAGUCCCAGUCCCAGAAACUUUAGUUAGAUCCAAUUGCUGCUGCUGCUCACGGCAGUAACUCCUUGCACAGAACUGUUUCAUGACUGAGGACUUGCACAGGAACAGCAAAUUCAGACAAUUUUCCAUAGACCGAAGGACAUUCGUGCGCCCACCUACAGGGCAAAUCCAUUUACGGCGUUUUGCCCCUGUAUUUUGAAGGUGUGCUGCAGUUACACAAAGUGAGGAUCCACCAAGAGGGAGAGCAAGAGCACGUGUCCAUUCAUAGUGGUGGAGGUGAUGCCUGCGGUGGGGAGCCCACGAUUCCAGUUCUUUCUCCUAGAACAACAGCUGCAUUUAUCCAACUAUGAUCCCAUGUAAAAUGUGUGGGCAGCUUUGCAGCAGCCAGGACGUUUCACUGUCCGUGAAAUAAAUAGAAAUGUCACUGCA
rnacentral:lncRNA from 1 species